AUGGACACAGCUCCAGGGCCCGACGGGAGACCUGUGGAGUUCUUUAAGAAAAUUUGGCCAUGCUUUAAGCACGUGUUCCACGCGAUAGUAAAUGGUUUUGCGCUUGGUCAAGUUGACCUCUCCCGCCUUAACUAUGGGGCGAUUAGCCUUAUCCCUAAAGUUAAAGGCGCGGACAACAUUAAGCAGUUCAGGCCUAUAACGCUUAUCAACGUGCCGUUUAAACUAUGUGCAAAAGCGUAUGCCAUGAGGCUGGCUCCAAUAGCUCAACGGGUGAUCCAGAGGAGCCAGACCGCUUUUCUCAAGGGGCGCAAUAUUUUGGAGGGCCCAAUUGCGCUCCUUGAGAUUGUGCACGAGCUGAAACGUACCAAGGGGAAAGGGGUUUUGCUCAAACUCGACUUUGAGAAAGCCUAUGAUCGUGUGAACUGGGAGUUCGUGCGAGAGGUGCUGCUCAAGAAGGGGUUCGAGGCGGGAUUUGUGCACCGUAUAAUGCACCUGGUCAGUUGUGGGCAACCACGGUGA
rnacentral:rRNA from 1 species